GUGGAUUCCAAAAGAGUACAUUAGUUGUAUUUUCGUAUCUCUGUCGACAUUCUGAGGCGGAUGUAAUCGAAACUCAGUAGAGGUCCAGAGGCGUACUUUCGUAUUUGGAACUCUGGUGACGUUCAAGGCGUACACUAGUUGUAUAUUCGAAGUCUUGCUGUCAUCCAAAGGCGUUAUUUCGCAUUCGUAGUCCUAAGCAUAUUCGUAUUCGUUCUAUCCUUUUAAUUAUAUUCGUUAUUCGUAUUCGUUCUAUCAUAUUAGUUAUAUUCGUUAUUCGUAUUCGUACUAUCAUAUUAGUUAUAUUCGUUAUUCGUAUUCGUACUUAGUUAUAUUCGUAUUCGCAUUCGUUCUAUCCUAUUAGUUAUAUUCGUUAUUCGUAUUCGUACUUAGUUAUAUUCGUAUUUGCAUUCGUUCUAUCCUCUUAGUUAAAUUCGUUAUUUGUAUUCGUACUUAGUUAUGAUUAGUAUGAUUUCUUUUACAAAAGAACAUAUACUUUAUAAUAUUUAAAAGAAAUCUGUAUUUAACCUGCAGUUCAAAACAUCAGUUAUCACAAUCAAGACAUUUAGUAAAUAAACCAUUAAAUUGAAAAUCAGUUGAAGUACAAAAUAUAUUUGUACUUUUGCUUGUAUUCCCCCCCCCUGAAAAACAGUGAAAACAGUGAAAAAGACGGAAAAAGGUUGGGGGUAUGAACUCACCGGACGCGAAAAUGUGUCGAUUUCAGGUGCUAAACGUCGAAUCGAGGCCUGAUAACACACGAGGUUCCUAUGUAAUAUGAAAUGGCAUACAAAUAUAUCUAAUUAGAUUUAUAAAGUCUAAUUAGAUACGAUAUUACACUCCAACGAACGAAAACACCUCAAAACGGGUGUUUGGAGUGACCCGGGUGACAUCUACGGAUGGGAAUUAAAGCGAGGGACUUGGGAUUUGAUUUACCCCCCAAGAGUAAACUCCCUAAUGAAGUUUACGGCCUAAACACCCAUUCCCCAUGAGUUUACGGCCGUAAACUCAUGGUGGGGUGGUUUAUGGCGCUUAAAGGGUCACAAAUGGUUAUUGACACUUGGAAAUGUUUGGAAUAAUUUUACCUAAGGCUUGGAAUGAAUUAAAAUCACCAAAUACAACAAUUAAGGGAGUUUACGGCCUUCGCAUGGGGCCUAUGGCCGUAAACUCUGAUAUCUCCUUGAAUAAGUGUUUUUAAGGUCCCAAAAUUAAUCACAUGUGAUUCUAAAAAUUCCUACAAGCCUAGAAAUGAAUUUGUAGCACCAUUUGACACACUUUUUGGAGUUUACGGCCAUGGGGCAUGUUCUAUGGCCGUAAACUCUCAUAUGUAUGGUUUUGAUGUGUUUACAGUCUUUAAACUAUUUUUGGUUGGUCCUAUGAUUUAUUCCAAGGUUUUUGGUGGUGUUGGAUGGCUUUCUAACACUUUAGAAGUGUGUUUACACCCAUGUUUGAGGAGUUUACGGCCCAAGCACAUGCCUUGGCCGUAAACUCAUACAAACCCCACAAAAUCCAUGUUUGAAGUGUUCUAGAUCCAUAACCAAUAUUCUAAAAGUCAUAUCUAAGUCUUGUUUGAGCCAUGGAAGGGUUUAAGGGCUUAAAAACCCUCUAAAUUAGUGUUUACGGCCUAGACACCUUCCAGGGCCGUAAAGUCUUAAACAAUGCUCUAAAUCAUGUUUCAAGGCAUUCUAAGCUCAUUCCAUAAAGUCAUUUAGCCAUAUCUAAAGUCUAAUUGUGGUUUGGAAGGGUUUUGUUUCUCCAAAAACCCCAAUUAUAUGAGUUUACGGCCUAGGAUAGUUCUAGGGCCUCAAACACAUGAUAAUGGUCCUAAUCCAUAGAUUAUACUCGAAUUUGAAGGCUAAAGAGGUUGUAUAGCAUGCUAGGGAAGUUACCUCAAAGAUUUGAAGCCUUAAACUUGAGAUUUGGACCUUUAAUUCUAGUUUGAGGAGAGAGGUUGGGGUGAUAGUUGUAGAAUGAAGCAAAAGCUUCAAAAUGAAGUCUUAGAACACUUUAAAUAGUGUUCGGGAUUUGGACACGAUGAAAUUCUACCCGAUACCGGCUUUAGACGGGGCUUUUGGUCGCACCCGGCCAAUUUGCCGUAACCCGAUAUGGUUGAUUCUAGAAAUGUUCCAAUCAUUAAUAUGUGACGUUAGAAUGAGUUCUAAGGGUAUUAAGACACUUAUUAAGUCGUAAAAUAAAAUAUUCUAUAAUGACUUAAUAAAAUGCCGAAAUCGGAAACGAAAUCGGAAACGGCGAUUGGAUGAUUAGAACGAGUCGCGAAAAGGGUUACAUUUAGGGAUAUGAAUUUCGGGUUGUUACAUUAUCCCCCCGUUAGUAGGAAUUACGUCCCGAAAUUCAAAGAUUCGAACACAGAUCAGGAAGUGAAAAGAGAUACGAUGAUGAAUCUACUGCUUCGGGUCUUCGCUUAACGUUUUAGUGAACCCUCACUAUCGGGACGCGUCUUGAUUUCGUUGGGUAGAUACUUCUCAAAGACCGAUGCAUGAAGUAUCUGAUGGAUGCUACUAGGNAUGGAUGCUAUAGGUUCCGAGAGUAAUCGAAGUUUGAAGGUUAUGGAAUUGAUUCCACAAGGGUUGCGAAGAGUCUACUGAAUCACUAGGAAAGUAUUUCGCUUUUCCAAAGCAUUAGGUCGAUACUAGACUUGGCUGGACGUUCGGAAGGAAAUUUCAGAAGUUUUCAGGAAAGGCAUCGGGGAAGGAGCUGCAGAAUUUUCGCUUUCCAAAUGUCACAUAGUCGAGGAAUGCAUGGAAAACUUUCUAAGGUUAAUGCACGAAGAUGUGGAGGUUGGAUUCGGGUUAGAUGUUGAAGAUCAAGAGAGUCGGGUUAGGGAUAGAUUCGGAUGGACAACUCUUUCGAAGAUAAGAACCACAACAUGAAUGAGACUCAGUCAUUCCAUGACAAGAUUGCAUCAAGCUUUCCAUGAAAUAUUUACCAUUAGAUUGAAUGGAAAGGAAUAUUCAUCCGCAUUAAGGAUACGAUCUAGGGGUAUGGCGUUAACGUUCUCUCUCUCUCACUAGUUGGUCAUUUCGACGGCACACAUUUCGAUUAUAAACGAAGGAUUUAGUUUAGAAGAAUAUUUGAAUGAAUGAUUAGAAAAUUCUUACAACAUUAGAAUCGAGAAGGAUCACAAGAACAAGAUUUAUCAAAGAGAAGUAUACCUGUAGCAACGGUGGGAUCAGCGGCUGUCCUUUCUUGCCCCAUGGUUAGGACUCUCCCGGUGUUGCCAGAUGUUACUGUCUUCGGACAGUUUCGCUUAUAGUGUCCGACCUCUCCACAACUGUAGCAGGUUUGACCGAUACCUAUUCCGGAAGCCUGACUAGUUGACGGGGUUGGGGUUUAGCAGGUUCGUGCGAGGUGACCUUCCUGGCCACAUCUUCUACAAAACUUUGCACGAUAAGGGCCAGGGAUGCGAUGGUGGUAGCUGCAACGGUUACACCAUGGGAGGAUACCGGCAUAUCCGGUGACAGGUGCUUGAGAUGUGGAAUUGACAACAGAAACAGCAGCAGGGAUAGUGGCAGCAUGGACUGUCACUAUUUGCUGUUUCUUGGAGAGUUCUGGGGAAGACUGACUCUUCUUCGUCUUUUUCCAAAACUUUCUUUUCUCGCCACUCUUUUCUGUUGGCUCAGGAGUGGCAUCUGCUUCUUCUUGGUUUUCGCUGUGGUCGAUUACGGUUUGCGCUAGGCAUUUGGCGCUGUCAUAGCUAUAACGUUCCCUUUUGUUGGCUAAGUUAUUCCCCAAAUGAACCUUUCUACCUUUUUGCUUUCCGGGGUAACCAUCCCCGGACAAAGGAGUGCCAGGUCAUUAAACCUUGAAGUGUAAGAGGCGAUAUGAAAACCUUUCAUCAUUAGGUUCCAUAGCUCAUGUUCCAGCUUCCGGAUUUCACCCCGAGGGAAAUACUUCGCGCGUAGUAGUUCCUUCAUAACUUCCCAUCCCAUUGCAUUAGCUACAAGUAGACUCAGGGAUUUGACUCGGACGUUCCACCAAGUAAGAGCAUUAUCGAUGAGGUUACAGGCGAAAAACUUUACUUUGUGGGAAUCCGAACAGGCACAGAUCUCAAAAACAGAUUCAAUUUUCCCUAACCACCGAGUUAGAGUAAUGACACCCCCUGUGCCAUCGAAGAAUGUGGGUUUUGCGUUCAUAAAGUCUUUAUAGGAACACUCCUUCCGGUGUCCCUGAUUACCUUCUUGGUUUUGGGAACCACUUCCUCAACCAUUGAGGUUAAAUUGAGGUAGGAGAGCUGAUAUUGUGGCAGAAAUGGUUGCUUGAAGAGUUUCCAGAUCGAUUUGAAGAGGAGGUGGUGGCAGAGGGUUGUUGGUCUUAGAGCUAGGUCUCUUUCUUGGAGGCAUCUUGAUCUAAUAAGAUCAAGGAAGAGAGGAUGAUAAGUCCUCUGAAUUGAAUCAAGAGAUAUGCCAGAUAUAUGCUAACAAGCGAUAAAGUAGGAAAGAGUUAUCAAAGCGGGAAAAUUAUCGCUAAGGGAAUGGUCAAAGAACAAUGCAUGAACGAGGAUUUCUACCAAGGAUUGACUCGAGAAAUACUCCCAUAGUAUUUCGUGAUUUUUUAAGACGCUGGUUCGAUGUUUGUGGUAUUAGGGUAAGUUUUAGGCAUGCCGCAUACCACAGUCACUCCCAAGAACAUGUUGGUCGUGUCUCGAAUGAAUAUAGUUGGCCAGGCUAUAUUGAUCCUAGACACAACUACAUAACUGCCCAGGUUUAACCGCAGCGUACACACCCAUUUACUUAUAUUUUGUUCUAGUUGUAGUUACGGAUUUCGACGGUCGGUAUACUUGUAUACUUGAGAAAAUACUUAUAUUUGUAGAGUAUACUUUUAGUUCAGAGCACUUAGGCCCCUUAAUGUUUAUAGUCUUAUACCAUGUAAGCUUUGGUAUACCAGUUCAUUAUAAACAAGGGCUCUGAUACCAAUCUGUCACACCCCGAAAACCAAAGGCGGAAACAUUUCCGGGGUUGACUCCACGUUGAGUAUCAAAUCCAAUGCACAUAGUAAAGCAGUAAUCACAAAACAUUACAUUACAUAAUAUUGUUUACAUCUGUUUAAAAGAAAAGUUGUACAAGUGAUACAUAGUAUAUAUGAACAAAAUGAGACGAGUCUUCUAUGCACUCCGUCUUCACUAAAAGAUACCGCUGGGUACCUGUCUAACGCUGACCUGAGAAUACAAGCAGUUUGAAAAUCAACAUAAAGUUGGUGAGUUCAUAAGCGGUUUAGUUUUGAAAAGCACGAGCUUCCUUUACUUUCUGUAAUAGUUAUUGUUCAAGAAAAUCCCAUAUUUUCUUAUAAAAUGGUUUAGUUAUCUUUUGUUACAAUUUCAAAAAUGGUUUGUUGUGUUAUUCUAGGAAAAUCCCAUAUUUUCCAUAUAGUUUUAGUUAUUCGUUUGUUACUUUAUUCACUUAUGUUUUGUUACGCUAUCCAGGAAAAUCCCAUAUUUUCCUAUGUGUUGGAUUGGCUAUUUGAUUCUAAGUUCGUUACUAGUUGUUAUGUUAUCCCAGGAAAAUCCCAUAUUUUCCUAUGUGUUGAGUUGUUUGGUUCUUAGGUUUGAUUUCAAAGUAUUAGUACUUACCAUAUGUGUAGUAUUAGUUAAGUAUUCUAAACUCCUAGAUAUACCACAUUCAUAUGACUAUAACCUACAAACUUAGUUGUAUUUUCGUAUAUUUGGAUUCACCAGAAACGUACAUUACAGUAUUUUCGAUUAUUCUGGUGGAUUCCAAAAGAGUACAUUAGUUGUAUUUUCGUAUCUCUGUCGACAUUCUGAGGCGGAUGUAAUCGAAACUCAGUAGAGGUCCAGAGGCGUACUUUCGUAUUUGGAACUCUGGUGACGUUCAAGGCGUACACUAGCUGUAUAUUCGAAGUCUUGCUGUCAUCCAAAGGCGUUAUUUCGCAUUCAUAGUCCUAAGCCUAUUCGUAUUCGUUCUAUCCU
rnacentral:lncRNA from 1 species